CUCGGNGGCGCGGAUUAGGCAUGCAAGUCGAACGCGAAAGUUCCCUUCGGGGAGCGAGUAGAGUGGCGAAAGGGUGAGUUAAUGCUUGGAUGACCUGCCCUCGAGACGGGGACAACAGUUCGAAAGGACUGCUAAUACCCGAUAGUCCGGUUUAGAUGCGUCUAGAUCGGUAAAUGGUGCUUCCGCUCGAGGAGGGGUUCAAGUCCUAUCAGCUUGUUGGUGAGGUAACGGCUCACCAAGGCGAUGACGGGUAGCCGGACUGAGAGGUUGGCCGGCCACAUGGGAACUGAGACACUGUCCUGACUCCUACGGGAGGCUGCAGUCGAGAAUCUUCUGCAAUGGGCGAAAGCCUGACAGAGCGACGCCGCGUGGAGGAUGAAGGCCCUCGGGUCGUAAACUCCUGUCACAUGUUAUGAAACGCACAGGUCUACCUGUGCGCUGACAAAAGCAUGAGAGGAAGUCACGGCUAACUUCGUG
rnacentral:rRNA from 1 species